rnacentral:rRNA from 2 species
UCACUUGUGGGGGGAUUAGUGGCGAACGGGUGAGUAACACGUGAGUAACCUGCCCUUAACUCUGGGAUAAGCCUGGGAAACUGGGUCUAAUACCGGAUAUGACUCCUCAUCGCAUGGUGGGGGGUGGAAAGCUUUAUUGUGGUUUUGGAUGGACUCGCGGCCUAUCAGCUUGUUGGUGAGGUAAUGGCUCACCAAGGCGACGACGGGUAGCCGGCCUGAGAGGGUGACCGGCCACACUGGGACUGAGACACGGCCCAGACUCCUACGGGAGGCAGCAGUGGGGAAUAUUGCACAAUGGGCGAAAGCCUGAUGCAGCGACGCCGCGUGAGGGAUGACGGCCUUCGGGUUGUAAACCUCUUUCAGUAGGGAAGAAGCGAAAGUGACGGUACCUGCAGAAGAAGCGCCGGCUAACUACGUGCCAGCAGCCGCGGUAAUACGUAGGGCGCAAGCGUUAUCCGGAAUUAUUGGGCGUAAAGAGCUCGUAGGCGGUUUGUCGCGUCUGCCGUGAAAGUCCGGGGCUCAACUCCGGAUCUGCGGUGGGUACGGGCAGACUAGAGUGAUGUAGGGGAGACUGGAAUUCCUGGUGUAGCGGUGAAAUGCGCAGAUAUCAGGAGGAACACCGAUGGCGAAGGCAGGUCUCUGGGCAUUAACUGACGCUGAGGAGCGAAAGCAUGGGGAGCGAACAGGAUUAGAUACCCUGGUAGUCCAUGCCGUAAACGUUGGGCACUAGGUGUGGGGGACAUUCCACGUUUUCCGCGCCGUAGCUAACGCAUUAAGUGCCCCGCCUGGGGAGUACGGCCGCAAGGCUAAAACUCAAAGGAAUUGACGGGGGCCCGCACAAGCGGCGGAGCAUGCGGAUUAAUUCGAUGCAACGCGAAGAACCUUACCAAGGCUUGACAUGAACCGGUAAUACCUGGAAACAGGUGCCCCGCUUGCGGUCGGUUUACAGGUGGUGCAUGGUUGUCGUCAGCUCGUGUCGUGAGAUGUUGGGUUAAGUCCCGCAACGAGCGCAACCCUCGUUCUAUGUUGCCAGCGCGUUAUGGCGGGGACUCAUAGGAGACUGCCGGGGUCAACUCGGAGGAAGGUGGGGACGACGUCAAAUCAUCAUGCCCCUUAUGUCUUGGGCUUCACGCAUGCUACAAUGGCCGGUACAAAGGGUUGCGAUACUGUGAGGUGGAGCUAAUCCCAAAAAGCCGGUCUCAGUUCGGAUUGGGGUCUGCAACUCGACCCCAUGAAGUCGGAGUCGCUAGUAAUCGCAGAUCAGCAACGCUGCGGUGAAUACGUUCCCGGGCCUUGUACACACCGCCCGUCAAGUCACGAAAGUUGGUAACACCCGAAGCCGGUGGCCUAACC